rnacentral:rRNA from 1 species
AAUCAACGCUGGCGGCGUGCCUAACACAUGCAAGUCGAACGGUGACGAGGAGCUUGCUCCUCCGAUCAGUGGCGAACGGGUGAGUAACACGUGAGUAACCUGCCCCAGACUCUGGAAUAACAGUUGGAAACAGCUGCUAAUACCGGAUACGAGACGGAGAGGCAUCUCUACCGUCUGGAAAGUUUUUCGGUCUGGGAUGGACUCGCGGCCUAUCAGCUUGUUGGUGAGGUAAUGGCUCACCAAGGCGACGACGGGUAGCCGGCCUGAGAGGGCGACCGGCCACACUGGGACUGAGACACGGCCCAGACUCCUACGGGAGGCAGCAGUGGGGAAUAUUGCACAAUGGGCGCAAGCCUGAUGCAGCAACGCCGCGUGAGGGAUGACGGCCUCGGUUGUAA